GCCAGAGUGGCGGAACUGGUAGACGCGCUGGAUUCAAAAUCCAGUAAGCUUUACGCUUGUGAGGGUUCAAGUCCCUCCUCUGGUA
rnacentral:tRNA from 1 species